rnacentral:rRNA from 1 species
CCCAAGAGACUGGGAUAACACCUGGAAACAGAUGCUAAUACCGGAUAACAACACUAGACGCAUGUCUAGAGUUUAAGAGAUGGUUCUGCUAUCACUCUUGGAUGGACCUGCGGUGCAUUAGCUAGUUGGUAAGGUAACGGCUUACCAAGGCAAUGAUGCAUAGCCGAGUUGAGAGACUGAUCGGCCACAUUGGGACUGAGACACGGCCCAAACUCCUACGGGAGGCAGCAGUC